AGUUCUCAUAGAAUAGCCACCGGAGCCAAAAAUUCUCACAGCCUGUAUAUAAACAAUCAAAAAGCAAAAGCCUAGGUUUCUAAGUGCAGAUAAUUUUGAUAGCAGUGUUUCUCUCUCCCUUUCUUCUGUCUCGGCCUUUGUUUAUAUACUCAUCCGUAGGUUGGCCACCUUCCUAUUUUCUGCAGAUUGGUGUUUAUCCUCUUUCCAUUUUUGU
rnacentral:lncRNA from 1 species